rnacentral:lncRNA from 1 species
UUUUCACAUAACAUAAACACUACCACCCUCUCUUCUCUUCCACUCCUCCUCUAUUGCCGCCGUCACUCUCCGUGAUGGCACCACCGCCUGUCGCCGUCUACCCGUGGAAAAACACCCUCCAACCAAUUCCAAUCUAUUCAUUUCCUCCUCCUCUACCCUAAUCCAAGUCCCAAAUCCCUCGAAUCCCCCUCAAACGCCAUAAAUCUAGCCAAAUCUGAAACCCUAGCCGCCUAAAUUUUCCUACUUUCAUUCAAUGAACUAGUAACAAAUAUGAACAUCCAACCCCAUAAAUAUUACCUAAACGUAUAUAUCUCAAGGAUAUAUACACUUUCAUUCUAGAUUCACCCCCAAAAAGGCAUCAUCAUCGACCACCCACUGCCUCGCUGUCCAAACACCACUGCCACCAGUCCACUGACCCCUCUAUUUUUUUAGCCUAGUUUCGACCCAAGAACUUUUGUUUCUUAUUGGUAUGAUGUUGGGUUCAUUGAGUUCAGCGUAUCCCUAAAGGAAACAAACAUUCCAAGGUCAAAAAGCUACCAUUUGGCGUCCUCAACAUCGUCUAGUUGCUCGAUUCGACGUUAGAUGUCCCGGAGUUAGGAAUAAACCUCGAACCUUUAUACUUCCUCUAAAGUUUUGAUUCUUCUUUUUUUGUGUCAUUUUCUUGUAGUUUAAAUUCUGAUUUUUUAUUGUUGGGUUUUGUAUAACCUUCAUCAUCUCACUAUUUUUUUAUUUUUGACAGUGAUACAUUUAGUUUGCACCUUUGAUUUCUGUUUUGAUCAAUCACUCUAAUUAGACUUACAAGUUAGUUAUUGAUUAAUUAUCUUUGUUUAUCUUAAUUUUUUAUGUUAGUUUAAUUGUUCACUUAGUUAGUUGAUUUUACUCGUUGUUCGAUAGUUUACUAAUGUUCAAUUAAGUUUUUGGGCAGUGUUUUCUUAUUUCAAUUGCCCACUGUUAGUUCUCAUUUGCCGAUUAGAUUUAGUUUAGUUCGUUUGGAUAUUUAGUUCAAUUACAAUUGAAGUCAUACCCUAGCUUUUCCUAUUCAUAGUUGGUUUGAGUAUGAGUGUGUUAGUUUGAAUUUUAAUCAUAAUAAAUUUGAAUGUUUGUUGAGCGUAGGAUACUUAUUUUGCUACUUUUUCUGUUAAUAGGUUGUUUGGAGUACAUUGCUCCUAGCACUGUUCAUAGUUGGUGAAAAAAUUGUCUUUUGGACAGAUUUUUGCUUUGAAUUGUUAGGACCGAUUUUAGGUGGGAAAUUCGUCCUUUUGACAGAUUGAGUGAAAUAAUUUAAUCCCUUUCCUUUCCUAUAAAUGAAGAGGUCUUUCCUCACUUAAGGAGGAUCUGGUACACACAAAAAAGGGGGCAGAUUUUUUAACACUCUAAUACCCAAAAAAAAAUCAUCUUUUACCUCAAAAAAGGGGCACAUAUCUUAAAUAAAAUCAGUAGCUGUGUACAUAUGACAAGCUGAAAUUUCAGAGCUUUUGUACUAGUUCAAGUGCUUUUCUUGUUGGGGUUUUUAGGGGUAUUCUUGAGUCUGUUGCUUCUGUUUGCUACUGUCUGUUUGGUGUUGCUGUCGCCGGGUUUUAGUGUACGCUCUGUUUGUUAGUUUAACAUCUUCAAAGUUCAUUGUUGCUACUAAAAUUAUGCAAUUAGGUAACUUUUUCAACCUUUAGAAUAAUUAUCUUUACAAUAGGACAGUGAAGAUAAUGUUUUUAGAUGUGUUUUGAUCCUUACAUUGUUAUAAGAAAUGAGAAAAUGUUCACUUUGCAUUCUCUAAUUGGUUUGUUUUCAGAUUUAAUUGUUUUAUAUACCUUAGUUGUUAAUGUAUAGUUAAUAUGUUGGCAAACAGGUAAAAAGAGGAAUCAAGAAA